rnacentral:rRNA from 1 species
GACGUAGGGCGCGAGCGUUGUCCGGAUUUACUGGGCGUAAAGGGCGUGCAGGCGGUUUGUUAAGUUCAGGGUGAAAGCUCCCGGCUCAACUGGGAGAGGUCCUUGGAUACUGGCAGACUCGAGGAGGGUAGAGGAGAGUGGAAUUCCCGGUGUAGUGGUGAUAUGCGUAGAUAUCGGGAGGAACACCAGUGGCGAAGGCGGCUCUCUGGGCCCUACCUGACGCUGAGACGCGAAAGCGUGGGGAGCGAACCGG